GGGGAUGUAGCUUAGAUGGUAGAGCGCUUGCUUAGCAUGCGACAGGUACGGAGAUUGAUACCUCGCAUCUCCA
rnacentral:tRNA from 1 species